rnacentral:rRNA from 1 species
CCUACGGGUGGCAGCAGUGAGGAAUAUUGGUCAAUGGGCGCGAGCCUGAACCAGCCAAGUAGCGUGAAGGAUGACUGCCCUACGGGUUGUAAACUUCUUUUAUCAAGGAAUAAAGUGAGGCACGCGUGCCUUUUCGUAUGUACCUUAUGAAUAAGGAUCGGCUAACUCCGUGCCAGCAGCCGCGGUAAUACGGAGGAUCCGAGCGUUAUCCGGAUUUAUUGGGUUUAAAGGGAGCGUAGAUGGGUUGUUAAGUCAGCUGUGAAAGUUUGCGGGUCAACCGUAAAAUUGCAGUUGAUACGGGCAGUCUUGAGUACGGUUGAGGUAGGCGGAAUGCGUGGUGGAGCGGUGAAAUGCUUAGAUAUCACGAAGAACUCCGAUUGCGAAGGCAGCUUACUAAACUGCCACUGACAUUGAUGCUCGAAAGUGUGGGUAUCAAACAGGAUUAGAUACCCCAGUAGUC